UGCUGCGGAACCCGAGCUUGGGGGCUGCGGCGCAGGCGGGGCGGGUUUCCGGGUAGGACUUCGGGUCCUUGAUUUUAGCGCCCCGGUGUGGGGGCAGCGUCUGAAAGCCUCUCCUCUUCCGUUUCUCUGGCCUGGUUCCAGGAACUGCUUAUCAGAACCCCGCAAACAUGUCGGGGUUCAGUCCGGAGCUCAUCGACUAUCUGGAAGGGAAGAUCUCCUUUGAGGAGUUCGAAAGGCGGAGAGAAGAGAGGAAAACCCGCGAGAAGAAAAGUCUUCAAGAAAAAGGAAAGUCAUCAGCUGAAGAAAAUCCGAAUGACUCUGAAGUUCCAUCAUCAUCAGGAAUUGACUCUACCAAAUUUCAGGACAAAGAUGUCAAUGAAGGAGAAACGUCAGAUGGAGUCAGUAAGUCAGUUCACAAAGUCUUUGCUUCCAUGCUUGGAGAGAAUGAAGAUGAGGAGGAGGAAGAGGAAGAAGAGGAGGAGGAGGAGGAGGAAGAAACACCUGAGCAACCCACUGCAGGCGAUGUGUUUGUAUUGGAGAUGGUUCUCAAUCGUGAAACCAAGAAAAUGAUGAAAGAGAAAAGGCCUCGGAGUAAACUUCCCAGAGCUCUGAGAGGUCUCAUGGGUGAAGCCAACAUUAGAUUUGCUCGAGGAGAACGUGAAGAGGCAAUAUUGAUGUGCAUGGAAAUCAUAAGACAAGCUCCUUUGGCUUAUGAGCCAUUUUCUACUCUUGCUAUGAUAUAUGAGGACCAAGGUGACAUGGAGAAAUCACUGCAGUUUGAGUUGAUUGCUGCACAUUUAAAUCCCAGUGACACUGAAGAAUGGGUUAGAUUGGCAGAAAUGUCCCUGGAACAAGACAAUAUUAAGCAGGCUAUUUUUUGCUACACAAAAGCACUGAAAUAUGAACCUACUAAUGUCCGUUAUCUGUGGGAGCGAUCAAGCCUGUAUGAACAGAUGGGAGAUCACAAAAUGGCGAUGGAUGGUUAUAGACGUAUUUUAAACCUUUUGUCUCCAUCUGAUGGAGAACGAUUUAUGCAGUUGGCUAGAGAUAUGGCAAAGAGUUACUAUGAAGCCAAUGAUGCUACUUCAGCUAUUAACAUAAUUGAAGAAGCUUUCUCGAAACACCAGGGCCUAGUCUCCAUGGAAGAUAUUAACAUUGCAGCUGAACUAUACAUUUCUAAUAAACACUAUGACAGAGCUCUGGAGGUAAUUACAGAUUUUUCUGGAAUUGUGCUAGAAAAAAAAACUGCAGAUGAAGACACUUCAGAAGAGAAUAAAGCUGGUGAAAAUGUUACCUGCACUAUACCUGAUGGUGUGCCAAUAGAUAUCACAGUGAAGUUGAUGGUCUGCCUUGUACAUCUCAACAUCCUUGAACCACUUAAUCCUCUCUUGACAACACUAGUGGAACAGAAUCCUGAAGACAUGGGAGAUCUCUAUCUCGAUGUUGCUGAAGCUUUUCUGGAUGUUGGUGAAUAUAAUUCUGCACUUCCCCUCCUUAGUGCUCUAGUCUGCUCUGAAAGAUACAACCUCGCAGUGGUGUGGCUUCGGCAUGCAGAAUGCUUAAAGGCCUUAGGCUAUAUGGAGCGUGCUGCCGAAAGCUAUGGCAAAGUGGUUGAUCUGGCUCCCCUCCAUUUGGAUGCAAGAAUUUCACUUUCCACCCUUCAGCAGCAGCUGGGCCGUCCUGAGAAAGCUCUGGAAGCUCUGGAACCAAUGUAUGAUCCAGAUACUUUAGCACAAGAUGCAAAUGCAGCACAGCAGGAACUGAAGUUACUGCUUCAACGUUCUACUCUAUUGUUUUCACAAGGCAAAAUGUCUGGUUAUGUGGAUACCUUGCUUACCAUGUUAGCCAUGCUUUUAAAGUUAUCAUCUUUAAUUCAGGUGGCAAUGAAUAGAGCCCAAGUCUGUUUGAUAUCCAGUUCCAAAUCUGGAGAGAGGCAUCUCUACCUUAUUAAAGUGUCAAGAGACAAAAUAUCAGACAACAAUGACCAAGAGUCAGCAAAUUGUGAUGCAAAAGCAAUAUUUGCUGUACUCACGAGUGUCUUGACAAAAGAUGACUGGUGGAACCUUCUUUUGAAAGCCAUAUACUCCUUAUGUGACCUAUCGCGAUUUCAGGAGGCUGAGUUACUUGUGGAUUCUUCAUUGGAAUAUUACUCAUUUUAUGAAGAUAGGCCAAAACGCAAAGAGCUCGAAUACUUUGGCCUCUCUGCUGCAAUUCUGGACAAAAAUUUCAGAAAGGCAUACAACUAUAUCAGGAUAAUGGUAAUGGAAAAUGUCAACAAACCCCAACUCUGGAACAUUUUCAAUCAAGUUACCAUGCAUUCCCAAGAUGUACGACAUCACCGCUUUUGUCUCCGUUUAAUGCUGAAAAACCCAGAUAAUCAUGCCCUCUGUGUCUUAAAUGGACACAAUGCAUUCGUAUCUGGUAGUUUUAAGCAUGCACUUGGACAGUAUGUGCAGGCCUUUCGCACCUAUCCCCAUGAACCUCUCUAUAGCCUCUGUAUAGGCCUGACCUUUAUUCACAUGGCAUCUCAGAAGUAUGUAUUAAAGAGACAUGCUCUUAUUGUGCAGGUAAUUUGUUUGGAUUCCUCAAUAUUUGAUUUUGUGUUCUUUAAAAGUGCAUAUACUUAAUGCUUUUGUUAUCCUGCUUCAAAAGUAGUACCUGCUUAGCGCACAUGUUGGGAGUACCCAGCACCUAUUCCUGCGUUGAGCAGUCAUGCAUCAAUGUCUAGGGGUACUCCUGGCUAAGACUUACGCAGCCAUGCAGAAAGGGUGCACAGCCACAUCAUAAGGGAAGAAGACACAGGCAGAAUCUUAGGGAAUCCUAUGCAGGCUUCCGUAUACUCUGGAGCCUCAGAGACUUCCAACCUUCUAGGUCCUGAAGGUUUUUUAAUUAGUUUUUAAAAAUAUAAUAACAUAUACAUAUAAUAAUGUAUGAAUAUGUGCUUGUGUGACUGUUUUCUUGCAUCAACCACAGAUUGCUCUUUUAGUCUUCUUAGUUUAUAAAGCAGUUUGAAAUUACCUUUUUGUUUUCUUAUUUACUUUUUUACAUAGUUUGUCUCCUCCAGUAAAAAUAGAAACUCCAAGAGAUCAAAGAUCUUACUUCUCUUGUUCACCCCAUAUCCUCAACAGUUUUGCUUUUAUUUCAGUUUUUAUGUUUAUAUGUUUGAUGCAUGUGUAUACCUGUUUUUUAAGUAGUUAGGGAAGGAAAGAAAAUGUUCUCAGAUUUUUGUCUUUAAAUUUCUCAUUUUUAAAUAUGAAGCUUUGAUAUUUCUGAGAUUAAUAAUCUGUCUGCUAUUACUUAACAGAGAACCAUGUUUUUCAGUGGAGUAGAGGUCAUAUUCAUGUACUCAGAUGGGUUCAUUUAUUAUGCAGAAACUAUGAUUUGUUUAUUGAGCAUAAUUUUUAUUCCUAGAAUGCAUUAAUUCUAAAGAAUUCCUUAAUUUUUUAUUAUUUAUUAAUUUAUGAAGGAAAAUCUGUGACCAUUUAUUACAUAGUAGAUUACCUAGGAAAUAAGUGCAUUUUGUUUUCUAUACAUACAAAUUAGUUGAUUUACUCUUAAUUCUCAGGUAAUAUAUUUAUUUAAUUACUUAAAUCAGGUACUUUCACCUUGCACUUUGUAGCUUUCUGUGCAUGAUAAAAGUUGAAACUGCAUUAAAGGGGAAAGUGAAUACAGGAGGAAGUGAAGACACAAGUUGCUUUUUGGACACUCUGACACACAGGAAGCCUGCAUCAUAACAGCUAUGCUCUGAAAUAAUCAGUUUCUCCAUAUAGCUAUUGAGUCAGAAGCUUUCAGAGGGGAAAAAAAUCAAGUGUUUUUUUUAAAGUUAAGUUAUUAAGGCUCUGAGAGGUAUAUAAAAGGUACCAUUUACCCAGAAAGGUUAGAUAUACUUAAAUGAGUUUGCUCCUGAGAAUGAAACUUUCUGAAUUAUCAUUAUAAGGGCUUGGAUUUUAUAUUUUGGUGAAGCUUUUAGACAUGUAUCUCAAACCUAAAAUUUUACUGGCCUUUAAUACCAUAAAAGCCAAGUUGAAGCCAUAAAAAUAUAUAUUCUGUGUGCUCAUAGAUUAUGGAUCUUUGACAGCUAGUUGUAGUGUCUGGCUUUGUUUUCUAUGAAUUCUUUUGUCUUUAGUUUAAAAAUAUCUCUCCUUUACACCUUCAGAAGCGAUCUUGACUAUAUUGUGAUAUGAAACUACACCACAAACAUAUGUCCUUUUGGGGGCUUUUCCUUUCUCAAUCGAUACCUCAGUUUACGUGGGCCUUGCCAGGAAUCAUUCUACAAUUUGGGCCGUGGCCUUCACCAGCUGGGGCUGAUUCAUCUUGCAAUCCAC